rnacentral:rRNA from 1 species
AGAAUCAACGCUGGCGGCGUGCCUAACACAUGCAAGUCGAACGAGAAAGGGGAGCAAUCCCUGAGUACAGUGGCGACCGGGUGAGUAACACGUGACUAACCUACCCUCGAGUGUGGAAUAACAUCGGGAAACCGAUGCUAAUACCGCAUAACAUCGCAAGAUCAAAGGAGUAAUCCGCUUGAGGAGGGGGUCGCGGCUGAUUAGCUAGUUGGCGGGUAAUGGCCCACAAGGCGAAGAUCGGUA